rnacentral:rRNA from 1 species
CAUUUAAAGUGGUACGCGAGCUGGGUUUAGAACGUCGUGAGACAGUUCGGUCCCUAUCUGCCGUGGGCGCUGGAGAACUGAGGGGGGCUGCUCCUAGUACGAGAGGACCGGAGUGGACGCAUCACUGGUGUUCGGGUUGUCAUGCCAAUGGCACUGCCCGGUAGCUAAAUGCGGAAGAGAUAAGUGCUGAAAGCAUCUAAGCACGAAACUUGCCCCGAGAUGAGUUCUCCCUGAGACUUUAGGUCUCCUGAAGGAACGUUGAAGACGACGACGUUGAUAGGCCGGGUGUGUAAGCGCAGCGAUGCGUUGAGCUAACCGGUACUAAUGAACCGUGAGGCUUAACCUUACAACGCCGAAGCUGUU